GAGGGUAUAGCUCAGCAGUAGAGCACAUGCUUAGCAUGCACAAGGUCCUGGGUUCAAUCCCCAGUACCUCCA
rnacentral:tRNA from 1 species